UACGUAGGGGGCUAGCGUUAUCCGGAAUUACUGGGCGUAAAGGGUGCGUAGGUGGUUUCUUAAGUCAGAGGUGAAAGGCUACGGCUCAACCGUAGUAAGCCUUUGAAACUGGGAAACUUGAGUGCAGGAGAGGAGAGUGGAAUUCCUAGUGUAGCGGUGAAAUGCGUAGAUAUUAGGAGGAACACCAGUUGCGAAGGCGAUUCUCUGGACUGUAACUGACGCUGAGGCACGAAAGCGUGGGGAGCAAAUAGG
rnacentral:rRNA from 1 species